rnacentral:rRNA from 1 species
AACCCAUGCGAGUCAUUGUAGCAAUACAAGGCAUACGGCUCAGUAACGCGUAGUCAAUCUACCCUAUGGACGGGAAUAACCUCGGGAAACUGAGUAUAAUGCCCGAUAGAACAUUAUGCCUGGAAUGGUUUAUGUUCCAAAUGAUUUAUCGCCGUAGGAUGGGACUGCGGCCAAUCAGUUUGUUGGUGAGGUAAUGGCCCACCAAGACUAUUACAGGUACGGGCUCUGAGAGGAGUAGCCCGGAGAUGGGUACUGAGACACGGACCCAGGCCCUAUGGGGCGCAGCAGGCGAGAAAACUUUGCAAUGUGCGAAAGCACGACAAGGUUAAUCCGAGUGGUUUCUGCUAAAGGAACCUUUUGUCAGUCCUAAAAACACUAACGAAUAAGGGGUGGGCAAGUUCUGGUGUCAGCCGCCGCGGUAAAACCAGCACCUCAAGUGGUCAGGAUGAUUAUUGGGCCUAAAGCAUCCGUAGCCUGCCCUGUAAGUUUUCGGUUAAAUCUGUAUGCUCAACAUACAGGCCGCCGGGAAUACUGCAGGGCUAGGGAGUGGGAGAGGUAGACGGUACUCGGGAGGAAGUGGUAAAAUGCUUUGAUCUCUCGAUGACCACCAGUGGCGAAGGCGGUCUACCAGAACACGUCCGACGGUGAGGGAUGAAAGCUGGGGGAGCAAACCGGAUUAGAUACCCGGGUAGUCCCAGCCGUAAACUAUGCAAACUCAGUGAUGCAUUGGCUUGUGGCCAAUGCAGUGUUGCAGGGAAGCCGUUAAGUUUGCCGCCUGGGAAGUACGUACGCAAGUAUGAAACUUAAAGGAAUUGGCGGGGGAGCACCACAAGGGGUGAAGCCUGCGGUUCAAUUGGAUUCAACGCCGGG